CUGAGACGACCCAGAAAGCACUUGAUCAUAUCAUGAUCUGAUUUGUAAGCCUACUCGGGUCUUGAGUAUUUACUUGUAAGAACGGAAUUCUUUGUUUUGUAAUGGAUAGUUGCAAUUCCAUAAAAAAGAAUUCAGUCAAAUUUUUCUUACAUUGAACCAUUCCUCUAUCAUAUAUGUGGAUGUGUAAAGACAGGUACCAUAUAUAUAUUUUAUAUGGAUAUAUGGAUUCAUUUGGUUCUUUUUAUUCUUGCUCGAGCUGGAUGAUUAAAAAUUAUCAUGUCCAGUUCCCUCGGGGGAUGGAUCUAUAAGAAUUCACCUAUCCCAAUAACAAAAAAACCUGACUUGAAUGAUCCUGUAUUAAGAGCUAAAUUGGCUAAAGGUAUGGGUCAUAAUUAUUAUGGAGAGCCCGCAUGGCCCAAUGAUCUUUUAUAUAUUUUUCCAGUAGUAAUUCUAGGUACUAUUGCAUGUAAUGUAGGCUUAGCCGUUUUAGAACCAUCAAUGAUUGGUGAACCGGCAGAUCCAUUUGCAACCCCUUUGGAAAUCUUACCUGAAUGGUAUUUCUUUCCUGUAUUUCAAAUACUUCGUACAGUGCCCAAUAAAUUGUUGGGGGUUCUUUUAAUGGUUUCAGUACCUGCGGGAUUAUUAAUAGUACCUUUUUUAGAGAAUGUUAAUAAAUUCCAAAAUCCAUUUCGCCGUCCAGUAGCGACGACUGUCUUUUUGAUUGGUACCGCAGUCGCCCUUUGGUUGGGCAUUGGUGCAACAUUACCUAUUGAUAAAUCCCUAACUUUAGGUCUUUUUUAAAUUUUUUAUUUUUAAUUGAUUCAAUUGUGAAAUAACACGACAUGUGUAUCUAGGGAAUAGUUUCUUCAAAGCGAAUUCUCCCUAGAUACAUCUAGUCAAUUUAAUUCUGAAUUUAUUUCUAAUAUAAUAUAUGAUAUAUUAAUUGUGCUAAAGAUUUCAAUCUAUUUUGACUAAAUAAGUCCAAUAGAUUUAAAACUUAUUUUUUGCUAAAUCAAUUACGAAAUAUUUUUCUAAAGUGCCCAAUAUCUGUUUUAUAUCUUCGCUACGAAAAUGUUCAAUUUUCAUAAGAUCUUCUUGGCUGUUAUUCAAAAGGUCCAAUAAUGUAUAUAUAUUGGACAUUUUGAGGCAAUUAUAGAUCCUGGAAGGCAAUUCUGAUUGGUCAAUAAAAAUCGAUUUCAAUGCUAUUUUUUUUUUGUUUUUUAUGAGUUUAGCCAAUUUAUCAUGAAAGGUAAAAGGGGAUAAAGGAACCGUGUGUUGAUUGUCCUGUAAAUAUAAAUUGUCUUCCUCCAUAUGUAAAAAGGGAAUAAAUAAAUCAAUUAAAUUUCGGGAUGCUUCAUGAAGUGCUUCUUUCGGAGUUAAACUUCCGUUUGUCCAUAUUUCGAUAAAAAGUAUCUCUUGUUUUUCAUUUCCAUUCCCAUAAGAAUGAAUACUAUGAUUCGCGUUUCGAACAGGCAUGAAUACAGCAUCUAUAGGAUAACUUCCAUCUUGAAAGUUAUGUGGCGUUUUUAUAAGAUAUCCACGAUUUCUCUCUAUUUGUAAUCCAAUACAAAAAUCAAUUGGUUCUGUUAAACUAGCUAUAUGUUGUGUAUUAUCAACGGUUUCUACAUAAGGCGGCAAGAUGAUAUCUUGAGCAGUUACAUAUCCAGGACCCUUGACACAAAUAGACGCGUCAGAAGUUCCAUAUAGAUUACUUCUCAAUACAAUUUCUUUCAAAUUCAUUAAAAUUUCAUGUACCGAUUCUUGAAUGCCCGUUAUGGUAGAAUAUUCAUGUGGGACUUUCUCAGAUUUUACACGUGUGAUACAUGUUCCUUCUAUUUCUCCAAGUAAAGCUCUUCGCAUCGCAAUGCCUAUUGUGUCGGCUUGGCCUUUCAUAAGUGGAGACAGAAUAAAGCGUCCAUAAUAAAGGCGUUUACUGUCUGUUCUUGAUUCAACACACUUCCACUGUAGUGUCCGAGUAGAUACUGUUACUUUCUCUCGAACCAUAGUACUAUUAUUUGAUUAGAUCAUCGAAUCUUUUAUUUCUCUUGAGAUUUCUUCAAUGUUCAGCUCUACACACGUCUUUUUUUCGGAGGUCUACAGCCAUUAUGUGGCAUAGGAGUUACAUCCCGUACGAAAGUUAAUAGUAUACCACUUCGACGAAUAGCUCGUAAUGCUGCAUCUCUUCCGAGACCGGGACCUUUUAUCAUGACUUCUGCUCGUUGCAUACCUUGAUCCACUACGGUACGGAUAGCGUUUGCUGCUGCGGUUUGAGCAGCAAACGGUGUUCCUCUUCUCGUACCUUUGAAUCCAGAAGUACCAGCGGAGGACCAAGAAACUACUCGACCCCGUACAUCUGUAACAGUGACAAUGGUAUUAUUGAAACUUGCUUGAACAUGAAUAACUCCCUUUGGUAUUCUACGUGCACCCUUACGUGAACCAAUACGUCCAUUCCUACGCGAACUAAUUUUCGGUAUAGCUUUUGCCAUAUUUUAUCAUCUCGUAAAUAUGAGUCAGAGAUAUAUGGAUAUAUCCAUUUCAUGUCAAAACAGAUUCUUUAUUUAUACAUCGGCUCUUCUGGCAAGUCUGAUUAUCCCUGUCUUUGUUUAUGUCUCGGGUUGGAACAAAUUACUAUAAUUCGUCCCCGCCUGCGAAUUAGUCGACAUUUUUCACAAAUUUUACGAACGGAAGCUCUUAUUUUCAUAUUUUUCAUUCCUUACCUUAAUUCUUAAUCUAUUUCUUGGAAGAAAAUAAGUUUCUUGAAAUUUUUCAUCUCGAAUUGUAUUCCCCCGAAAGGAAUGGUGAAGUUGAAAACCUAAUCCUUUAAAUCUUUGUUGUGUAGUCGAUAAAUUAUACGCCCUUUGGUUGAAUCAUAAGGACUUACUUCAAUUUUUACUCUAUCUCCUGGCAGUAUCCGUAUAAAACUAUGUCGGAUCUUUCCUGAAACAGAAUUGAGAAUCAGAUCUAAACGAAUCGGGAAUAGACCGUUGGGAAGCGAUUCAGUAAUUAAAGCUUUAUGACUCCAUUUUGGUUCUUAAAAUUCCCUUGAGGUAUAAACUAAUUAGAAAGAUAUUAGACAACCCCCCUUUUUCUUUUUCACAAAUUUAACAAAUAGGAAGUUUCGAAUCCAAUUUUGAUAUUAUAAAGGAUUACCAGAUAUAACACAAAAUUUCUCCACCUAUUCCUUCUAGUCGAGCCUCUCGGUCUGUCAUUAUACCUCGAGAAGUAGAAAGAAUUACAAUACCCAUUCCACCUAAAAUUCUCGGAAUUCGUUGAUAAUUAGAAUAGAUUCGUAGACCAGGUCGACUUAUUCGUUUUAAAUUUAAAAUAUUUCUAUAGGGUCUUUUCCUAUUCCUUCUAUGUCGCAGGGUUAAAACCAAAAAAUAUUUGUUGUUUUCUCGAUGUUUUCUCACGUUUUCGAUAAAACCCUCUCGUAAAAGUAUUUGAACAAUAUUUUCGGUAAUAUUUGUAGAUGCUAUCCGAACCACCCUUUUUCGAUCCAUAUCAGCAUUUCGUAUAGAAGUUAUUAUCUCAGCAAUAGUGUCCCUGCCCAUGAUGAACUAAAAUUAUUGGGUUCUCCAAAUUUGAUAUAAUCAACGUGUUUUUUACUUAUUUAUUUUUGAAUAUGAUAUGAAUUAUUAAAGAUAUAUGCGUGAGACACAAUCUACUAAUUAAUCUAUUUCUUUCAAAUACCCUACUAGAAACAGAUCACAAUUUCAUUUUAUAAUACCUCGGGAGCUAAUGAAACUAUUUUAGUAAAAUUUAAUUCUCUCAAUUCCCGGGCGAUUGCACCAAAAAUUCGAGUUCCUUUUGGAUUUCCUUCUUGAUCAAUAACAACCGCAGCAUUGUCAUCAUAUCGUAUUAUUAUCCCGUUGUCACGUUUGAGUUCUUUACAGGUACGCACAAUUACAGCCCUGACUACUUCUGAUCUUUCUAGGGGCAUAUUUGGUACUGCUUCUUUGAUCACAGCAACAAUAACGUCACCAAUAUGAGCAUAUCGACGAUUGCUAGCUCCUAUGAUUCGAAUACACAUCAAUUCUCGAGCCCCGCUAUUAUCUGCUACAUUUAAAUGGGUCUGAGGUUGAAUCAUUUUUUUAAUCCGUUAUUUGAAUGCAUUUGAAUGCAAAGGGCGAAGAAAAAAAAAGAAAUAUUUUUGUCCAAAAAAAAAGAAACAUGUGGUUUUGUUUCAUAUCUAAGAGCCCUUUCUACAUUUUUGUCUAUUACAUUACGAAAUAAUGAAUUGAGUUCGUAUAGGCAUUUUGGAUGCUGCUAGUGAAAUAGCCCUUCUGGCUAUAUUUUCUGUUACUCCACCCAUUUCAUAAAGUAUUCGCCCCGGUUUAACAACAGCUACCCAAUAUUCAGGGGAUCCUUUUCCUGAACCCAUACGUGUUUCUGCGGGUCUUAGUGUAACUGGUUUGUCUGGAAAUAUACGUACCCAUAUUUUUCCACCACGACGUGCAUUUCGUGUCAUUGCUCGUCGGCCUGCUUCUAUUUGUCGAGAUGUAAUCCAAGCAGGUUCAAGUGCUUGAAGAGCAUAUUUACCGAAAGAAAUAUGAUUACCUCGAUAAGAUAUUCCCUUCAUUCUUCCUCUAUGUUGUUUACGGAAUCUGGUUCUUUUGGGGUUAUAGUUGAUGGUUGUUUCUGAAUUCCAUCUCUACUACAGAACCGGACGUGAGAGUUUCUUCUCAUCCAGCUCCUCGCGAAUAAAAGGAUUCCAAAAAAUUCAAUUUGAAUUAAGCUAGAAGAGUCAAUCUUAAGUUAAGAUAUAUAUGUAUUUACUGAGUAAUACCUUGAACGUGGGCUUCUUUGAGAUUUCAUUAAAUCUAUUAGUAAUUUUUAUAUCUUGUUUGAAUAGAUAACUAAACUUUUUAGUUUUAUAAAUAGAAAUAUAAAAAAUUGUAUUAUUAUACCAAAUCCUUAUUUUGUCCUUUAUUGUAUUGUCCUAAAUUUUUCAAUAAAAAAAGUUUUCGCGGGCGAAUAUUUACUCUUUCAAUCCCUAUUUC
rnacentral:lncRNA from 1 species